UCCACGCUCUGAACUCGUUGUUAAUUCCAGUAAUAAAACGAGAUGAGAACGCUGGCUGGGUAAUUAGCGAGGAGGCUGGGGAAGAAAUUGCUGUUUGAUGGUGGGUAAUAAAGGCAGCCGUGGUGACCGCUCUCCUGAGCAGCCGCUGCCACCGCCACCACCACGCUCCCUGUUCUGCUGACGGAGGGAAACGCUGUUGCUCUGAGCCUGAGGUCCCUGUCCCUGCUGCUGCUCCAGGCUCCAUCACUAGAGUGUCCUCCAGGCCCAGGCUCCAUGGCUCAGCUCUGGACCUGGAGCUGGCUGGGCCUCGGACCUGGAGUCAGGUGCUGAGGGUGUUGGCCUGCCCGGCGCAGAGUGUCUGUGGGGGGCAGUUAGGUGCUGAGGUUGGGCAGUCUCUUCCCCUGAAGCCAGUUUCUGGCUCCUUGGCCCUGAACCGAGCACCUCUGUGCUGCUCUUGUUCUUGGCAUAGGGUCAGCUGCUGCCACGUCC
rnacentral:lncRNA from 1 species